CACAAAAUGAUUCAGCACCUUCCAUUAGGUCAGUAGCUGCAAUGGUGCCAAUGCGAAGCCCUGCUACUGGUGGCUCAUCAGGAGCAUCUGGUGCAGUAGCUGCUGGUGCAGUACCUUUAAUUUAAGAGUCCUAGGUCAGAAAAUAAUGCCUCGUUACGACUACAAAUCUUGACUCUCUAAGUAGCAACGGUACACGGAAAUUACACUUUGUUCUCGUGUUCUAAUUAUCUAAACUAAUUUUAUUGUUUUUCCUACUCCAUGACAUCAAACCAUUCUCAUAGCCUUAGAUAAACAUCGUGAGAAUAGAUAACGAUAUUUGAUACAGCUAUAUGUGGGAUUGAUAAAUCUUUUAUACUAUAACUGAUAUUAUCUUGGAUUUUUUUCCUAUUGUCCACAAGUUCAUGUAAUAUGAAGUGUAUCAAAAGACAUGGAAUCAAAUCAAAUUGAUGUAUGAAUUAUCGUUGUGUCAAUAACUAAUUUAUUGAAGAAAUAUUUAGUUUUGAUUGCAAGGUUGUCUCAAAUGACAUUGUAGUCUAUUUUGUGUUCAAAUUUAUGAUGUAUCAAACAAGAUUGUAUUAAAUGAUAUUGUGAAAAAUUAUGGUUUAUCAACAUCCAUGCUACUUGAUUAAACAAGAAGUGAAAACCCAACACUAAUAAGCAUAUCAUAAUCAACAUACACAUACAUAACAUCUCAAUUAAAUUUGAAUUAAUCGAAAACAAAAACAAAGUAAAAUAAAAAACACUUAAACCAUAACGCGUGAACCUUUCUAUCCAUCUAUCACCAUGACCCACAACAUACAUACAUCAAAUUAACACAAAGUGUAACAGAUUUCCGUCUAUACUCAUCUCAACCUUACACUCAAUUGAUUCACGAGGAAUGCUAAAUCAUUACAUGGAUUACCACAAAAAAACUCUCUUCCAAAAAAAUCACUCUAACUGAAUUCUUUCCCUCUCUCAAUUCACUUAUAAAUUUACAUCAAAUGUUUAGCAUCGGCCUUGACUUCAACACUAAUAGCAUCCAUUUUACGUCACUAAUGGAGGACGUAAACAUGUUUAGUCAUUUAUUUUUUUUAUCUUCACCUACUAGGAUAAAUUAUAUUACAAUAAAACACACUCAUAAUAUGGUCCUCUAAGCCAUCAUCAAAAGAAACAUCACACAAUCUAUUAUUAUGAAAUGCCAAGGAUUAUAAAAGAGCAUAAACUAACAUAAAUUUGAAUAAGUAUAUAUAGUCCAUAUCAUUUUCUCAUCUUCCUCAUUUUUAUGUAUUUGAUUAUUAAGCAAAAACGUAGACGUAGUGGACCUUUGAGAAUUGAGUCAAAAAGUAAGCGGAUUAAUACCUUCCUACUUUUCAUAACCAUAAAAUACCUCACAUAGUAUUUUAGGAUUAUUUUAUCUAUUUUUUAUUAUAUUAUAUUUGGUAUUUUGUGGUUGUGUUAGGUAUUUAACUGUAGUAGAGAUUUUAUGCGAAGCGAAAACGGAACAAAACAGCAAAAAUCGGAAGAAAAUGCCAAGACUGUGUCAUGGAUUUUCAGAACACCACAAAUUCACCCACUACAGCAAUACCUUGAAGGCUUUCUCCCACUUUUCUUCCAUUAUUCAUACUGAUUUUGUGGUGUUAAGUAAUCGAAAUUCCUCCUAUAAAUUAAUCAGUGGUUUAAGCUUUGGUGUUUAUCUUGAAGCAAGUUUUAUAUUGGCACAUUUAAUUUCCACGAGUUUUAUUUUUCUGUAUUGUAUUUAAAACUCCAAUUUUUAGCAAAUUACCAGUUUAUUUUUGAGGUUUUUUUAAUUUGAUUUCUGUUUCAAUUAUUAUUAAUUCAUUUUAUUGUUUGAAGCUUUACAUGUCAUUUUACUAAUUACCUUUAAUCUUAUUUAGUUGUUAUUUUAAUAUGCCAAAUUUAUAUGGAUUAUUCUUCUUAUCUUACCAUUUAAUUAUCAAAUUAUAUUUCAGUGCUAUACUACUUUCAUAAACAUAUAUAUUUGUUUACUGUUAUGUUAUUUCUAUUUAUGCUUGUUCACGUGUUCAAUAUGCUAGCUUAAAUUACGAGAGUCUGGAUGUGAGAACGUCAUACCGACGAUCUCACAUGAAUCACACUAUAACUGAUGUGUAACGGAGAAUUGUUUUUGGUCUUGAAAAUUGGUUUUCAUAACACGUUUGUGCAAUGCGAUGCAGUGCCAAAACGGAAGUCAUGUAUAGCACCUUUUCAGUAAGGGCAGGUCUGGUGGAGGUUGCAAAGCAGGUUUGGGUCUUAGUUCUGAGCAAUUCGUAUUAUGUCUAUCUGAUAGUUAAGCUGGUACGUAUGUUUGUCUAACCAAACCUUUUAUAUAUAAUCACACAAGACUUGCAUAUCAUUAGAAAAACAAACAUAAUGACAAAAAAAUAACAAAUAAAACAAAAAAAUUGGUUUUUUAUUAUCCAUUGUUAGGGUUUCGAAUUUUGAAAUUCGGAUAAAAUUUCAUUUGUUUGUUAUAAACCAUCAUGAUUUUUAUUUAUUUUUUAAUAUUAUAAUUAUAUAAUUUUUAUUAUUCUUUUUAAAUAAAUCUUAUUAUAUUAUUAAUUAUUUUAAAAAAUUAAAAAGUCAAAUUAAAUAUAUUUAACAUAAAACGUGAGGGAUAUUGAGAAAAAAAUUCUGAAAAAUUCAGUUAUUUGUUUAGUAUAGGUUUGGGAUGAAUAAUUAAAAAGAAUAUAUAAAAAAAAAUACAAUAAAUUACACGGUAAAAAAAGAAAAUUUUAUAGUAUCCCAACAAAGGAAAAUGGUCAAUAAUUUGGGUAAUUGACAAAAUGCACUACCAUUGAGACAACGAGGUGCCAAUCUAUAGUAUUGAUCUCUUUUAUUUCAAAACUUCUCAUUCAUAUUAUAUUUCCUUAGAAAUAGUUGUAUCUAGAUUUUUUCUUCAUACAGCACAAACUUUAACGUAACAAUUGGUACCAUAUAAUUAUUUUUAAUUAUGAUGUUUUUGUAAAUAUAGUUUAUGUGUACAGAUGCUCGGGAAAAAUGGGGUAAAUCACGUUAUGCAAUUUUUUCUAAUUCUUUUACUUCUAAAACCAGUGUUACUUGCAUCUUUUUGAUGCAUCCAUUCAGAUAAUUAAAUUGCCAUUUGUUUGUUAAUAACCCAUCAAUUGUGGAUAUGGUUUUUUAUUUUCUACACUAGACAGAUCCUAUAAUUCUUAUUUUAUAUAUAUAGAGAGAGAGGUGGGGGAGGAAGGAGGGAGACUUCCCACUCCUAACAUUUUCCUUUGUCUUUAUAUGAUUAUAUUAAAUUUAAACAGUAUACUACACAUCUUUAAAUAAAAUGUAAUGUAUGCAUAGUCCAUAUCACCAUGUUAUGUCUAAAUUUGCAUCAACCAUGAGAAGCCUAGAAACCCCGGGACUCGGAAAAACUAAAGGCAUGUUUGAAACACUUUUCAAUUUUAGUUCUUAAAAAUUUUUUUUUCAAAAUUAUUUUUAAAAAUUAAAAAAGAAAAUUAACAAAAAAUUUGUUUGAUAAACUAAUUUUUAAACACUGUUUUUGAAAAAUAUGAAAAUGAAAAAACUGUGUUUGAUAAUCUAUCUUUUAAUGUAUGUAAGAAGAGAGAAUAAAAUGUUAGUAUUAUGGUCAUUUACUUUUAAAUCUAUUUUAUUGUAUAAAGUAUUACAAACUAAAAAAUUAAUUGAUAUUUGGUCGAAUAACAAAUAAUUUGGGUUAAAUCAAUAUUUUAAUGUUUUAUGAAAUGAAAAACUUGUUGAUGUAACUAUCUUUUAAGUAUUUUAAGAAGAGAAUAAAAAUGUAUAUUAUUUGUUAUUUACUUUUAAAAUCUAUUUUAUUGUAUAAAAUAUUACAAACUUUAAAAAAAUUAAUCUGAUAUUUGGUCGAAAAUUACAAAUAAGGGUCUAAAUCUAAUUUUAAUUUACAAAUCACAUAAACCUUGUUUGUAAUAAGAUACAGAAAAAGAACAAAUAAAAAAUGGGAUUCCACGGUUUAUAAUAGAGAGAAAAAAUUUAUAAGUGAAAAUAAUUAAGAAACACAAAAAAAUUAAGUAAAAUAAAUAACAUAUUUUUGAAAGGUUAAUUAUACAUAAAAGCGCAUAAAUAAAAGAAAUAACAUACUCUUUAAAAUACAGUUUUUUUAUUUUAUUUUAAAAAUAUAAAAAUUAUUUAAAAUUACAUUAAUGCUAUUAUGAAAAUUAUAAAUUUUAUGUUUUUUUUUCAAUUUUUAAACUAAAAACUAAAAAGUACACAAAUUAAACAGUUAUCACUUUUUGCUUUUAAAAACUGAAAAAUAAAAAGAGUUUUUAAUAACACUUUUAUGAAACAUAUAUAUUCAACAAAUUUUUAAAGGUUAAAUUUUCAAAAACUAAAAAAGAGUUUUAAGAUACAUUUUCAAACAUACCAUCUCUGCGAUGCUUGGAGACUCUUUUUUUUAUAAAUUUAUUUAUUUUUUAAUAUAAUAAAUUUAUAAAUAAUUUAUUUUCUUUUCAAAUAAAAUCUUAUUUAUCUUAUAUCAUUAAUUUUAAUAAAUUAAGAAGAUCAAUAAAUUAUUUAUGCAUAAUUAAAUUUAAUAAUAGUCAAACAUAAAAAUAUAUCAUUUAUUAGAAUUACACUAAUUAUAAAAAGGUGUCUUAUAACUUGAAUGAGUCUAAAAUACUUAAAUGGGAGCAGUUGAAUCAUCACAAAUUUUAAACAGUGGCAGUGGCAUUAUUGGUUAAGUUUACAGUGGCAGGUUAUGUAGUUAACAGAUUCAGUUAAGUUAAGUUGUGUUUUAUCCAUUGACAGUUAAGUUUCUUACGGUAAUAGCGGGUUAGUUGAGCUUCAUACAUAACACAGUGUAACAUUCCACUGGGAAAAUUCUUCUCUCCUCUGUCAGUAAUCUCUCAGUCAAUUGUCACGCAGUUAGGCAGCAGUAAGCGCAUAUGAAAAAAAGGGAGAGUAGCGGUGAAGCCGGUGAAGUAAUCAGAGAAGUUCAAGCUAGUAGCAGCAGUAACGCCGCAUGAAAAAAGGAGAGUAAGCCGGUGAAGCCGACGUGAAGUAAUCAGAGAAGUCAGCUAGUAGCAGCAGUAAGCGCAAUGAAUAAAGGGGAGAGUAAGCCGGUGAAGCCGGUAGAAGUCAGAGAAGUCAAUGCAGUUACGCAGUAAGGCGCAAUGAAAGAGAGGGGAAGAGUAAAGCCGGUAAAGCCGUGACGUAUGUAGAGAAGUCAAGCAGCUAGCACAGUAAGCGCAAUGAAAAAAAGGGGAAGAGUAAAGCCGGUGAAGCCGGUGAAAGUAUUAGAGAAAGUCAAGCAGAGCUAGCAGUAAGCGCAAUGAAAAAAAGGGGAAGAGUAAGCCGGUGAAGCCGGUGAAGUAUAGGAAGUCAAGCAGUAGCAGCAGUAAGCGCAUUGAAAAAAGGGAAGAGUAAAGCCGGUGAAGCCGGUGAAGCCGUGGUGAAGUAUCAGAGAAGUCAAGCAGUAGAGUGUAGCGCAAUGAAAAAAGAGGGAGAGUAAAGCGUGAAGCCGUGAAGAUCAGAGAAGUCAGCAGAGCUUAGCAGUAAGCGCAAUGAAAAAAGGGGAAGAGUAAGUCGUGAAGCGUGAAGACAGAGAGUCAAGCAGUGCAGAGUAGCAUGAAAAGGAAAAGGGAAGCGUGAAGAUCGAGAGGCAAGGAGUCGCAUAAGCCAUGAAAAGGGGAGAAGUAAAGUUGGCGGCCGUGACCAUAGAAGUAGCAGUAGCAGCAAUAAGCUAUGAAAGGAAGAGUAAAACCGGUGAAGCCGAAGUGAGUCAAAGUAAGCGUGAGCGCGAAGAAGAGUAACGGUCGAGAAGCAAGAGUAGCAGAGCAUGAAAGGAGGUACCGGUAAGCCGAAGUAUCAAGAAGUCAAGCAGUGCGCUGUGGAAGAAAAAGGGAAUGGGGAGUAUAAAGCAAGCUUAGGAUAGCGAUGCAGGGAGAAAGCCGGGAUAGGCGUCGAGUACGAGUAACCAAUGAAAAAGGAAGAGUGGCCAAGUUCAGAAGUCAGCAGAGCAGUAGCGCAAUGAAAAAAAGGGGGAAGAGUAAAGCCGGUGAAGCCGGGAGUUCAGGAAGGUAACAGUAGCUAGGCAAAAAAGGAAAGAAACGGUGAGCGUGAGUACGGAGUCAAGCAGUAGCAGCAGUAAGCGCAAAAAAGGAGAGCGGUAAAGCCGUGAGUAUCAAGAAGUCGAGAGCAGCGUAACGCAUAAGGGGUAAGCGUGAAGCCGGUGAAGUAUCGAGAUACGCAGUCUAAGCAAGGGGGAUAAGGUGGCCGGAAGUACAGAAAAGUUCAAGCAUAGCACAUCUAAAGGAAUAACCAAGAGUGAGAGCAGAGGUUUCAGAGUAGAGCGACGAAUGUAAGGGGUAAGCCGUAGGGAGUAUCAAGUCCACAGUAGCGAAUAAGCGCAGAAAAGGAAGUCGAAGCGUAUCAAAGAAGUAGCAGACAGCAGUAACGCAAAGGAACCGUGAGCCGUAGAAGAAAGUCAGAGUAGAGCCGUAGGCAUAAAAAAGGGAGUAAGCGGGAAGCGGAAGUCGAGAAGUCCGCAGUAGUAGCCAAGAAGGGAGAAAACCGGGACGUGAAGUAUCGGAGUCGCAAGUCGCGCGAAGCAAAAAGGGAUAAAGCGUAGCUAAGUUCGGAGUCAAGCAGCAGAAGAUGAAAAAAAGGGGAAGAGUAAAGCCCGGUGCCGGUGAAGAAUCAAGAAUCAGCUAGACAGUAGGCAAGCAAAAGGAGAUUAAGCGUGAAGACGAAAGCAGUAAGAGCGCAGAAAGAGUAAAGCGUGAACCGUGAAGAAGAGAAGUCAAGCAAGUAGCACAAACGCAAUGAAGGGAUAAGCGGGCCCGGUGGACAAGAAUACAGUACAAUGCAUACAAGGGAGAGUUACGUAAGCCGUGAAGUAUCAAAAGCACAGAAGCAGUAAGCGCAUAAAAGAAGAGAAACCUGAAGCAGAAGUCAAAGCAGAGCAGCAGUAAGCCGUAAGGAAGAAGCGGUGACCGCUGAAGUAUCAGAGUCACAGUAGAGAGUAACGGCAUGAAAACGAAGAAGUCGUUGAGCCGGGAAGUAUCAAAGCACAGUAGCAGCAGUAAGCGCAAUGAAAAAAAGGGACGAGAAAGCGUGAGGCUGAAGUUCGAAAUCAAGGUAGAGCAAAGGCAAUAAAAUGAUAAGCGGUGAAGUUGGAGUCGUUAGCACCAAAGUUAAACGAUGAAAGGGAAACCGGUAAGCGAAGUAAUGAGAAGUAGCGAGCAGCGUAAGCGCAAUAAAGGAAGAUAAAGCGGUAAGGGAAGAUGAGAAGUCAGCAGUAGGUAUAAAAAAAGCCGGUGAAGGCCGGAGUUCAGGAAGUAAGAGUAGAGAUAACGCGAAGGAAGAGUAAGCCGAAGCCGAAGUUCGAGCAGCAGUACAGUAAGCGCAAUGAAGGAAAUAAACAGACCGGUGAAGAUCAGGAGUAGCAUAGACAGAACCAAUAAGAAGAAACGGAGUAUAAAGAAGCAUGCAGUGUAACCGAUAAAAAGGGGAAAGAUCCGACCGGUGAAAUCAGAAGUAAGCGUAGGCGAAGCAAAAGGAAGUAAGUCGGUGAUUUAGAGAGUUCAAUGCAAUAACAAUGAAAAAGAGGAAGAGUAAAGCCGUGAAGUCAAAAAGUCAAGCACGGUGGCAUGAAAGGGAAGAAGUAUAACGGAAGCCGGAACGUCAGAGAAUCAAGCAGUAGCAGCGUUAGGCUGAUAAAAGGGAGUAAAUGUGAAGGGACAGGCAAAUGAGCAGAAGCGAAUGAAAAGGGAAGAAGUAACCGUUGAAGCGUGGUGAAGUUAUAGAGAGUCAAGCAUAGCAGUCAGUAGGCAAUGAUAAAAAGGGGAAGAGUAAGGCCGGUGGAAGCCGCUGAAGUAUCAGAGAAGUCAAGCUAGUCUAGCAGCAGUAAGCGCAAUUGAAAAAGGGAGAGUAAAGCCUGAGCGUUGAAGUAUCAGAGAAGUCAAGCCAGUAGCAGCAGUAGCGCAAUGAAAAAAAGGGGAAGAGUAAAGCCGGUGAAGCGGUGAGUAUCCAGAGAAGUCAAGCAGUAGCAGCGUAAGCGAAUGAAAGAAGGGAAGAAGUAAAGCGGUGAAAGCCGGUGCAGUAUCAGAGAAAUCAAGCAGUAGCAUGCAGUAAGCGCAUCUAUGAAAAAAAGGGGAAGAGUAAAGCCGGUGAACGCCGGUGAAAGUAUCAGAGAAGUCAAGCAGUAGCAGCAGUAAAGCGCAAUGAAAAAAAGGGAAGAGUAAACCCGGUGAGCGGUGAAGUAUCACGAGAAGUCAAGCAUAGGCAGCAGUAAGCGCAAUUGGAUAAAAAGGGGAGAGUCAAGCCGGUUAGGGCCGGGUAAGUAUCAGAGAGUCAAGGCAGUAGCAGCAGUAAGCGCAAUGAAAAAAGGGGAAGAGUAGCGGUGAGCCGGUGAAGUUAUAGAGAAGCAAGCGAUAGCAGCAAGUAAAGCCGCAAUGAAAAAAAGGGAAGAGUAAAGCCGGUAGCGGUUGAGAGUUAUCAGAGAAGUUCAAGCAGUAGCAAAGCAGUAAGGCGCAUUGAAAAAAGGGGAAGAAGUAAAGCGCGUGAAGCGUAUCAGAGAAAUCAAGCAGAGUAGCAAGCGUAAGCGCCAACUGAAACAAGGGAAGAGUAAAGCCGGUUUGAGCCUGUAAAGUAUCAGAGAAGUCAAGCAGUAGCACAGUAAGCGCAAUGAAAAAAGGGGAAGUAGAAGAGGUAAAGCCGGGAAGUAUCAGAGGAAUCAAAGCAGUAGCAGCAGUAAGCGCAAUGAUAAAAGGGAGAGUAAAGCCGGUGAAGCGUGAAGUAUCAGAGAAUCAGCAGUAGCAGCAGUAAGCGCAAUAUGAAAAGGGGAGAGUAACUUGAAAGCCGGUGAGUAUCAGAGAAGUCAAAGCAGUAGCAGCAGUAAGCGCAAUGAAAAAGGGGGAAGAGUAAAGCCGGUGAGCCGUGAAGUAUCAGAGAAGAUCAGAGCAGUAGCAGCAAGUGAAGCGCAUGAAAAAAAGGGAAGAGUAAAGCCGUGAGGUGAAGUAUCAGAGAACGUCAAGAGUAGCAGCAGUAAGCGCAAUGAAAAAAAAGGGAAGAAGUAAAGCCGGUGAAGCCGCUUGAGUAUCGAGAAAGUCAAGCAGUAGCAGCCGUAAGCCGCAAUGAAAAAAAGGGGAAGAGUAGCGAAGCCCGGUGAAAGAUUCAGAGAAGUCAAGCAGUAGCACGCAGUCAAGCGCAAUGAAAAAAAGGAAGAGUAGCCGGUGGAAGCCGGUGAAGUAUCAGAGAAGUCAAGCGUAGCAGCCGUAGCGCAAUGAAAAAAAGGGGAAGAGUAAAGCCGUGAAGCCGGUGAAGUAUCAGAGAAGUCAAGCAGUAGCAGCAGUAACGCAAUGAAAAAAGGGAGAGUAAAGCCGAUGAAGCCAGUGGUAUCAGAGAAGUCAGCAGUAGCAGCAGUAAGCGCAAUGAAAAAAGGGGAAGAGUAAGUCGGUGAACCGUUAGUAUCAGAGAAGUCAAGCACAGUAGCAGCAGUAAGCGCAAUAAAAAGGGGAGAGUAAAGCCGAUGAAGCGUGAAUAUCAGAGAAGUCCAAGCUAGUAGCAGCGUUAAGCGCAAUGAAAAAAAAGGGGAGAGUUAAAGUUCGGUGAAGUUAGAGAAGUCAAGCAGUAGCAGCAGGAAGCGCAAUGAAAAAAAGGGAGAAGUAAAGCCGGUGAAGUAAGUAUCAAGAGAAGUAAGCAGUAGCAGCAGUAAGCGCAAUGAAAAAAAAGGGGAAGAGUUAAAGCCGGUGAAGCCGGUAAGUAAUCAGAGAAUUCAGCAGGUAGCAGCAGUAAGCGCAAUUGAAAAAAAGGGGAAGAGUAAAGCCGGUGAAGCGUGAAGUAUCAGAGAGAAGUCAAGCAAGUAGAGCAGUAAGCGCAAUGAAAAAAAGGAAGAGUUUUAAAUCCUUGAAGCCCGGUGAAGUUAUUAGAGAAUCACGCCAGUCGAGCAGCAGUAGCGCAAUGAAAAAAAGGAAGGUAAGCCGGUGAAGCCGCUGAAGUAUAGAGAAGUCAAGCAAAGUAGCAGCAGUAAGGCAAUGGAAAAAAAGGAAAGCAGCAAGAGUAAGCCGAGUGACGUAUCAGAGAAGUCAGCAAGUAGCAGCGUAAGCGCAAUGAAAAAGGGGAGAGUAAGCCUGAAGCCGGUGAGUACAGAGAAGUCAAAAGCUAAGUAUUUAGCAAGCGUAAGCCAAUGAAAAAAAGGAAGAGUUUUAAGCCGGUGAAAGCCGCGUGAAGUUCGAGAAAUCAAGCAAGUAAAUAGUAGCGCAGUCAAGCGCAAUGAAAGAAAGGAAAGUAAAGCCGGUUGAAAGCGGUAAAGUUCAGAAAGUAAGGCAGUUGCAGCAGUAAGCGCAAUGGAAAAAAAAGGGAGAGUAAACCCGGUGAGCCAGUGAAAGUAUCAGAGAAAGAAGUCAAGCAGUAGGCAGCAGUAAGCGCAAUGAUAAAAAGGGGAGAGUAAAGCCGGUGAAGCCGGUGAAAGUAGCAGAGAAGUCAAGCAGUAGCAGCAGAUAACGCAAUGAAAAAAAGGAAGAGUAAAGCCGUGGAAGCCGGUGAAGUAUCAGAGAGUCAAGCACUAGCCAGCAGUAAGCGCAAUGAAAAAGGGAAGAGUAAAGCGGUCUAGGCGGUGAGUAUCAGAGAAGUCAAGCAGUAGCCAGCGAUAAGCGCAAUGAAAAAGGGGAAAGAGUAUAGCGGUGAAUAUCCGAGAAGUCAAGCACGGGUAGCAGCAGUAGCGCAAUGAAAAAAAGGGGAAGAGUAAAGCCGGUGAAGCCGCGUGAGUAUCAGAGAAGGUCAAGCAGUAGCAACUUAGCCAAUGUGGAAAAAAAGGAAGAGUAAAGGCGCGGUGAAGCCGGUGAAGUAUCAGAGAAUCAAGCGUAGCAGCAGUAAGCGCAAUUUGAAAAAGGGGAAGAGUAAAGCGGUGAAGCGGUGAAGUAUCAGAGAAGUCAAGCUAGCAGCAGUGCGCCAAUGAAAAAGGGAAGAGUAAAGCCAGGUGAUGUUAUCAGGAAGUCAAGCAAGUAGCGCAGUAAGGGGCGCCAUAUGAUAAAAGGGGAAGAGUAAAGCCGGUGAAGCCGGUGGAAACGUAUCAGGAGAAAUAGUAGAGCAGUAGCAGCAGUAAGCGCAAUGAAAAAAGGGGAAGAGUAAAGCCGUUGAAGCGCGGUGAAGUAAUCAGAGAGUCAAGCAGUAGCAGCAGUAUAGCGCAAUGAAAAAAAGGGGAAGAGUAAAGCCGGUGAAGCCGCUGAGUACAGAGAAGUCAACAGUAGCAGCAGUAAGCGCAAUGAAAAAAAGUGGAAGAGUAAAGCCGGGUUGAGAUCGAGACGUCAGCAGUAGCCAGCAGUAAGCGCAAUGAAAAAAAGGGGAAGAGUAAAGCCUGUGAAAGCCGGUGAAGUAUCAGAGGAAUCAAGCAGUUAGCAGCGGUAAGCGCGCAAUGAAAAAGAGGAAGAAUAAAGCCGGUGAGCCGGUGACAGUAUCAGAGAAGUCAAGCAGUAGCAGCAGUAGCGCAAUGAAAAAAGGGGAAGAGUAACAGCCGGUGAAGCCAGUGAAGUAUCAGAGAGUCAAGCAGUAGCAAGCAGUAAGCGCAAUGAAAAAAAAAGGGGAAGAGAAAAGCCGGUUGAGCCGGUGAGUAUCAGAGGAAAGUCAGCAGUGGCAGCAGUAAGCGCCAUGAAAAAAGGGGAAGGUAAAAGCCGAUGAAGCCGGUGAAGUAUCAGAGAAGUCAAGCCAGUAGCAGCAGUUAGCGAGGAAGAAAGGGGAAAGAGUAGUCGGCGUGAAGUUAUUAGAGAGUCAAGCGAGUAGCAGCAGUAAGCGCAAUUGAAAAAAAGGGAAGAUAAGCCGGUGGAGCCGGGUGGAAGUAUCAGAGAAGAUCACAGCUAGUCGUAGCAGCAGUAAGCGCAAUGAAAAAAAGGGGAAGAGUAAAGUCGGUGAAGUAGAGGAGUCAGCAGUUCUAGCAGCAGUAAGCGCAAUGAAAAAAAGAGGAAGAGAAGUGUGAAUAUCAAAGAAGUCAGCAGUAGCAGCAGUAAGCAGCAUGCAAAAAAGGAGAGUAAGGGUGAAGCCGGUGAAGUAUCAGAGAAUCAAGCCAGGAGCAGCAGUAAAGCGCAGAUGGAAAAAAAAGGGGAGAGUAAAAGCCGGUCUGAAGCGGUUGAAGUAUCGAGACAAUCAGCUAGCAGCCAGUAAGCGCAAUGAAAAAAGGGGAAGAGUAAAGCCGUAGAAGCGGUGAAGUAUUAGAGAGUCAACAGUAAAAUUGCUGCAGUAAGCGCAAUGAAAAAAAGGGGAGGAGUAAAGCGGUGAAGCGCUGAAGUAUCAGAGAAGGUCAGCAAGUCAGCAGCAGUAAGCGUAAUGAAAAAGGGAGAAAGUAAAGGCCGGUGGAAGUAUCGAAGAAGUUAAGCAAGUAUAGCAGCAGUAAGCGCAAUGAAAAAAAGGGAGAGUAAAGCCGGCUGAAGCCGGUGAAGUAUCAGAGAAGUCAAGCAGUAGCAGCAGUAAGCGCAAUUGAAAAAGGGGAAGAGUAAAGCGUGAAGCGGUGAAGUAUCAGAGAAAUCAAGCCAAGUUGCAAAGAAAAAAAAAAAAAAAAAAAGCAGUUAAGCGCAAUGAAAAAAAGGGGAGAGUAAGCCGGUGAGCGCGGUGAGUAUCAGAGAAGUUCAAGCAGUAGCAGCCAGUUAAGCGGCAAUGAAAAAAAGUGAGAGUUAACCGGGUGAAGCCAGUGGAUCAGAAGAAGUCAAGCAGUGGCAGCAGUAGAGCGGCAUGAUAAAAAGGGGAAGAAGUAAAGCCGGUGAAGCCGGUGAAGUAUCAGAGAGUUUUCAAGCAGUAGCAGCAGUAAGCGCGAUUGAAAAAAAGCGGGAGAGUAAAGCCGGUGAAGUCGGUGAGUAAUCAGAGAAGUCAAGCCGUUAGCAGCAGUAAGCGCAAUGAAAAAACAAGGGAGGAGUAAGGCGGUGAAAGCGGGAAGUAAUCAGAGAAUUCAAGCAGUUAGCACAGUAAGCGCAAUCCGAAAAAGGGGAGAGUAAAGCCGGUGAGCCGGUGAAGUAUCAGAGAAGUCAGCUAAGUAGCAGCAGUAAGCGCAAUGAAAAAAGGGUAAAGAGUAAAGCCCGGUUGAGCCGGUGAAGUAUCAGAGAAAGAGAAAAUAUAUCCUCCAGAAGAAACUAUAAUCCGCCAAGAGUUACAGCGCCAAAAGAGUGCUAAAAGAGUUACAAGACUGUCAACCAAAAAAAACGUCUGGAAUGAAAAAGAGUGAGGUUUGUAAAAGAUGCAAUCAAAGCUUUCAUAUGGAAUAGGCACUAGUAAGGGCAUAGAAAUGGUUGUAAAUGAAGAGAGAAAGAUGAAAACAAAGCGGAAAGGUGUAAUGCUAGAGAAACAGGUCCAAUCCAGCAAGAAGAAGACAGAAUGAACAAAGGGCAAGGGUAAAUGCUACAGAAACAGGUGUCAAAUCCGCAAAGAGAACACAGAUGAAAACAAGGGAAGGGCAAGCUGAAAUGUGAUACUCAAAUUAACCUGCAUGUUCGCAUGUCAGCUUUUAUUUCAUUGUUUUCAUUUUGUAUGGAGAUAUGAUGUUUCAUUUCUUUUUUCAUAUUUUGGAUAUUACAAAUUCAUUGGAACGUUUUCUUUCUUCCAUUUUUACAUUCUUUUAUACUCUUUCUGUUAUAUUAAACAUUGUAAUGCUACCAAUUUGAUAUUACAUAAUUGUUCUUAAUAUGUAUAUUCGCCAAAUCAUGAGAAUCUCUUUUCUCAACUUUUCCAUUUCAUUAUGCGUCUUGACUUUGAAAUUAUCUUUCUUCAAUGUAUUUAUGGAGAUCACAAGAUGCAAACAAAUGUAAUUGAUUACAAAGAGACUAGGCUGAAGAUUAAUUUGAGCCUAUUGCUUCCUUCUGAGAAAUAUUAUGGACAGAGACGCAUGACCGAUAUAUUUCACAUGGAAUGCCUUAUAGCACAAGAGUUCUGAUGUUGAAGUAAAUUCAUACGGACGGAUUACUCAAUUGAAUCACAAUAUUAACUAUGUGUACGAGAAUUGUGUUUUGGGUCUGAAAAUUUUAUUUGUAACACGUUUCUUGUGCAAUGCGAAUGCAGUUGCCAAAACGGAAGUCAAUGUAUAGCACUUUCAGUAGGCAGGUCUGUGGGAGCGUCUGCAACAGGUUUGGGUCUAGGUUCUGAGCAAAUCGCAUUAUGUCUAUCUGUAGUUAGCUUGGAUGAUAUGUUUGAAUUUAGAACUGCUCUUUGUUUUUGACAUAACAUAAUGAUUAAAAGGUUUUGUAUUUGUCUGCCUCUUCUACAAACAUGGCUUCAUAGUCUCAUCAGAAACCCACCAGAAAGAGGCUNAGGAACCACAUGAAGAAGUUGAAUAAUUUUCCAAGCAUUACCCCCUACACUAAAUAUUUCGACUUUGUUGGGACUCAAAGAUAGAAUCUUAUAAGUAUCGGUUGAAUUAUCAUAACCAAAUGAAAAGCGGGAAGACCUGCGAUAGUCAUAUGCAUUUUGGUGAGGAUUGGAGUGAUGUCCAAAGUAGACAGAAAAUGUGUGGGCGGCUGGGUUCCAUAAUUGAAACCAGGUGUAUUGAAGAUCUGUUGAAGAAAUAACACUGAAACAUAUCAAUCCAUUGCAGGAACCAAUGAAUUCGUAGCAAUUGUCGACGCUGGCUGAGAUGUAUUGUUUGGUGUACUUUAUCAUGGAAGGAUUGUUUAGUAAAGUAUUGAGGGGAUAGGGUUGGAUAACAGAUUCCUGAGACACGCCUAAGAUUUGUGUGAGAUUCUUUUUUUUUUUUGAACGUUGAAGAUGCAGUUUGAUAAAUUUUGGAUCGGAGAUGAUGGCGUUCCAUGCUUUGGUCACGCAUCUCAGUUGCGUCAAAGAUCUAACCGGAAGGUAUGACAGAACUUGUAAGAUGAGUUCUUCGGGAAGGAAUAAUAGAUUGCCGUUGGAUUUCAUCACAACUUGCGCACUCUUAAAACUGAAAUAGAAAUAGAAAGCUGAACCCUAAUAAACGUAAACAAGCUGUUACUCAUUUAAAUAGGGUUUCUUAAAAUGUUUUUUUUAUAUGUUUGUAUCCUUUAAUUUUUAUGUGAGCCCAACCAACAUGCAAAUUCGCCUUUUUGUUUUCUAUAUUUUUUUAAACCAUUCUAAGGAAUACACUAGUGGUAUUAUUUUAAGAUUUUAAAUAAUAUUAUAUAUUUUAAUUUNUUUUUUUUAUAUGUUUGUAUCCUUUAAUUUUUAUGUGAGCCCAACCAACAUGCAAAUUCGCCUUUUUGUUUUCUAUAUUUUUUUAAACCAUUCUAAGGAAUACACUAGUGGUAUUAUUUUAAGAUUUUAAAUAAUAUUAUAUAUUUUAAUUUUUAAUAUCUAUAAAAUUUUACAUAAAUUUUUAUUAUAGAAAGCGAUACAGAACCAUAUAUAAAUAAAAAUAAAAGCUUACAAAAUAUAGAAAAAGUAAUCGAGCGUGUAUAUAGACCAAUAUAUUUAGCAAAAGUCCAAGUCAAAACAUCAAUAAAAAAUUGCCUAACCACAAAAAAAAAAGGAAAAACUAUUACAAAUAUAUUCAAAUAAUAAUGACAAAUAAAUUCAAAUUACCUCAUUUUUUAUAUUACGUUCAUUCCUUACAAACUUUCAUAUUCUAAAUCAUAUUUAAUGAUGUUUUUAUGUCAACACUAUCAAAUAUAUUAUUGAGUUUUGAUGUCUACCAUAAUUUAUAUCUAAAUAUUUUGUGAUUCAAAAUUGAAAUUUAUUAAAAUAAAAUUAAAAACAAAUACUCUAUUUACUCGUAAAUUACUUUUUCUGUUCAUCAUGUCUCCCUUUUUCUAGAAAAAACAAAUACUCUAUUUACUCGUAAAUUACUUUUCCCUUUUUCUAGAAGCUAAAUAAUCCCCGAAGCAAAUUACUCAAACCCUAGCCGCAUAACAUUUAAAAAAAAAAUCUCAACAUCAACCACAAUCAACUAUAAUUAGUCUGAAAUCCUAAAGCCUAGGAGAAAAAUAGGGGCUUCGGUGGUGAGAAGAUUGAUAUGAAAGGAAUAAGUCUCACCGGAGCUUCGCAACUCCGGCGAGAUCCCGACGGUCGAAGAAAUACCUCAGGUAAAGGAUUGCGACUCUUACUCUUUAGCUCCAAGUCCUCGACUUCUUCUCCCCUUCUUCUUCAAAUCUUCACCCUCUACUCGUCAAAGCGCUUUUUCUAAUGAACUGCGAUUUCGUCCAGGUUGAUUGAGCUUUGGUGUGUAGGUUGGGAUGUGAUUUCAGCAGGGUGACGGUGCCAGAAGGGAGAGGCCUUUCAAUGAAUGAGCGCUCCCUUUUAUAGAGUUCAAUACGAGGUUCAAUCCGCUCCUCCUUCAUGAGCUGGCAAAUCUUUGGAUGAAUCAAUCCGUUAGCCAAAAGAAUCUCGUCCAGAUUUGGUGGUCCUCCCUUUUGACGUGGACCCCAAAAUGAAGGUAUU
rnacentral:lncRNA from 1 species